UGUAAAAAUAGCGCAGCGCAGAGGGAACGGUGGGUUCCAUGUUGUGUGUGAGCGGCCGGUCACAGCUGUGUGCGAGUUCUCGAACGUCAUGCGGAUGAACCGAAAGCUGACCGGAGUCACAACGUGGAUCUAGUGAGUCCGGAUGAUUCUUCCUUUAGAUGGUGACAUCACAGAUGUCACCAUCAAAGCCGGGAGAGGCGAGAGCGCGACAACUUCCUGCACCCGCUGGAAGCUGUCGACCAAUCACAACAGAGUGGAGCCAGCUGACCAAUCAGAGCAGACUGGGCUUCAUCGGGAGGGGGGAGGGGCCUUGAAGAGACAGGAGCUAAAACCGAGAGUUUCAGACGGAGGCUGUGAAAGAGGAGCUGCAGGAAUGAACAGUCUGAGCAAACUGAUGCGUUGACUGAACAUCAGAGCAUGUAAACCGUCUCAAGUAAUAACCCAAAUUAAAAUUAUAAACCCUGAA